rnacentral:rRNA from 1 species
CCUACGGGUGGCAGCAGUGGGGAAUAUUGCACAAUGGGGGAAACCCUGAUGCAGCAACGCCGCGUGAGUGAAGAAGUAUUUCGGUAUGUAAAGCUCUAUCAGCAGGGAAGAAGAUGACGGUACCUGACCACGAAUCCCCGGCUAACUACGUGCCAGCAGCCGCGGUAAUACGUAGGGGGCAAGCGUUAUCCGGAUUUACUGGGUGGAAAGGGAGCGCAGACGGCAGGGCAAGUCUGGAGUGAAAGCCCGGGGCCCAACCCCGGAACUGCUCUGGAAACUGUGCGGCUAGAGUACUGGAGGGGCAGGCGGAAUUCCUAGUGUAGCGGUGAAAUGCGUAGAUAUCAGGAGGAACACCAGUGGCGAAGGCGGUCUGCUGGACAGCAACUGACGGUGAGGCGCGAAAGCGUGGGGAGCAAACAGGAUUAGAUACCCGUGUAGUC